CAAAAGUUCGCCAUCUUUUCAGUGUCGCCUAAUUUAACGGCUUAGCGGUAGUCGUGUUGGAGUUUAUGCCAGAGUCAUCAUUUUUCAAAAUGUUCGGAAGAUGCGCGGCACCACUACUGGUUCUGUUGUACUCCGUCAAGUUCGUCGAACCAGCAAAGGCGUGUCGAUACGUUCACUUCUACGGACAUUGCGGCGGACAUUUUUACACUUUUGUUGGCUCAGUGGCGGCCUGUAAAGUAGCGUGUUCAAGCCGAGGAAACUGUCUUGGAAUUCAUUACAACUCCGGACAAUGUUGGCUUCAAAACUUUGUCUGUCAACCGAGCAAGGCCGUGAAUAGGGGCAACAGAGUAUGGAAUCAAUACACAAAACUGACUCCCUGCUCGACGACAG